rnacentral:lncRNA from 1 species
AUUUUCUAGAUGGAAAUUUUGAGUGUAAAAUUUAUACAUUUAUUAAGCCCUAACCAGGAACAGUUGUGAAAAAUACAACAAUACUCUAUAGGUUCAGAAUCGAACCUGUGGCUUUGCGAUAGUUGUCCAGCUCUGAGCUCUAACAAACUGAGCUACAUAGUCCAGUUGUCCAGCUCUAACCACAGGUUCAUGUAUAAAUACUAAAGUGAUGCCAUGAUAAGGUGUAUGGGUAAAUAUCAGGAUUUUUGGGUAUCUCAUUUGAUUCAACUGAUGUUGAAUGGAGGAUUUUGUGGAUGAAAAUUGAUGUGUAUAAACUUUAUACAUUUAGUAAUACCAAGCCCCUCGGGCAAGAACUGACCAAGCAGCCCUGCGAUCCAACCAACUGAGCUACAAAGCUUUAACCACAGGUUCAUGUAUAAAUACUAAAGUGAUGCCAUGAUGAGGUGUAUGAGUAACUAUAUCAGGAUUUUGGAGCAUCUCAUUUGAUUCAACUGAUGUUGAAGGAUGUUGUGGAUGAAAAUUUCGAGUAUAAAUUUUAUACAUUUAGUAAUACCAAGCCCCUCUGGCAGGAACUGACCAAGCAGCCCUGCGAUCUAACCAACUGAGCUACAAAGCUCUAACCACAAGUUCGUGUAUAAAUACUAAAGUGAUGCCAUGAUAUAAAGGUGUAUGGGUAACAAUUAGCAUUUUUGGGCAUCAUGACUCGAUUCAACUGAAUAAAGAUUUAAUAAAGAUUUUACUCGAUUUAACACCAAGCCCCUCUGGCAGGAACUCACCAAGCAGCCCUGCGAUCUAACCAACUGAGCUACAAAGCUCUAACCACAAGUUUAUGUAUAAAUACUAAGGAGUGGGAACGAUGUCUACAAACGUUAGCCGAUUCUGUUAUUAUAUCAUUAAUUGCAUGCAUGCAAAAGGUUCUGCUGCUUGUACGAAAUAUAAUAGUGUAGUGUACAGAAUAUAAAUUCCAUCUGGCACGUGUAACUUUGAUUAGCGCUUCCAAUUAUGGUGGUUUUGUGUUUCUAUGUAUAUUUUGCUCCAAAGUUAUUUAUAACACGGUUAUAGUGGGUAAGCACUAUCGUGUUUGGAAACAUUUAAAAUUCGUAUGCGCAUCCAGAUGUACACAUUAAGAUUUGAAUAUAUAGAUGCAUUAUAGGAUCAAUUAUUUCUCAUGCUGAUUUUCAUUGAUGCGGUUUGAAGAAACAUCAACAGCUGAACAAACUGCCCACACAGUGGGGGAAGGUCUCUGAAAUACCAGGGGUUAUUAUGUUGAGGUUUUUUUUUGGGGGGGGGGAGUGGGUAGGUGGGUGGUGUUCCCUUCUCAAUUCUAGAUGCAAGGUGGUAUAUAUAAUCUAGAGAAAAGAUCACAUGGAAUAAAUAUAUUUUCGAUAUAACGUGUUUAGGUUUUGUAAUAACUAGAAUGUAGUGUUUAAUAAUAAUAAUGAUGAUGCGGAUUUAUUGGUAAUAUAUCCACAGAGUAGCUCUUCGCUUACCAAAUUAUAUAAAUUAUAAAGUAUUCAUAAAGUCUAUAAACUAUUUUACGAAUAUUACUGCAAUAUAACUUUGGGUAUAUGUCGUGUUCGACAGGACAAAAUAUUACAUACACUCAAUUACGAAUUAACUAAGUUAGAACAAAACUGUACGAAACUAUGUACUAUUUAAAUAUUUCUUUCUAAGAUUAUCCAAGUCUUGACCAUGCUUUCAAGACUAAGAAAUUCUUGGUCUCAUUGUAGAACACUCUGUAGUCUCUGCAGUUCCUAAUUUCUUCUGGUAAUUGGUUAAAAAGAUGUGCUGAUUGGUCCUGUAAUGUGUUCUUAAUUAAAGGGACUUGAAGCUG